rnacentral:rRNA from 1 species
UACGUAGGGUGCAAGCGUUGUCCGGAUUUAUUGGGUUUAAAGGGUGCGUAGGCGGUCUAUUAAGUCAGUGUUUAAAUUUUGCAGCUUAACUGUAGGUAUGGCAUUGAUACUGGUGGACUUGAAUAUCAUGGAGGUAGCUAGAAUUUAUGGUGUAGCGGUGAAAUGCAUAGAUACCAUAAGGAACACCGAUAGCGGAGGCAGGUUGCCACGUGAUGAUUGACGCUGAGGCACGAAAGCGUGGGGAUCAAACAGG